rnacentral:rRNA from 1 species
UACGGGGGGGGCAAGCGUUGUUCGGAAUUACUGGGCGUAAAGGGCUCGUAGGCGGCCAACUAAGUCAGACGUGAAAUCCCUCGGCUUAACCGGGGAACUGCAUCUGAUACUGGAUGGCUUGAGUUCGGGAGAGGGAUGCGGAAUUCCAGGUGUAGCGGUGAAAUGCGUAGAGAUCGGGAGGAACACCUGUGGCGAAGGCGGCCAACUGGGCCGACCCUGACGCUGAGGCGCGAAGGCGUGGGGAGCGAACAGG